GAUGAACGCUGGCGGCGUGCCUAAUACAUGCAAGUCGAGCGAACGGACGAGAAGCUUGCUUCUCUGAUGUUAGCGGCGGACGGGUGAGUAACACGUGGAUAACCUACAUAUAAGACUGGGAUAACUUCGGGAAACCGGAGCUAAUACCGGAUAAUAUUUUGAACCGCAUGGUUCAAAAGUAAAAGACGGUCUUGCUGUCCCUUAUAGAUGGAUCCGCGCUGCAUUAGCUAGUUGGUAAGGUAACGGCUUACCAAGGCAACGAUGCAUAGCCGACCUGAGAGGGUGAUCGGCCACACUGGAACUGAGACACGGUCCAGACUCCUACGGGAGGCAGCAGUAGGGAAUCUUCCGCAAUGGGCGAAAGCCUGACGGAGCAACGCCGCGUGAGUGAUGAAGGUCUUCGGAUCGUAAAACUCUGUUAUUAGGGAAGAACAUAUGUGUAAGUAACUGUGCACAUCUUGACGGUACCUAAUCAGAAAGCCACGGCUAACUACGUG
rnacentral:rRNA from 1 species